GCCUGGGUGGCUCAGUUGGUUAAGCGUCUGACUUUGGCUCAGGUCAUGAUCUCGCGGUUUGUGAGUUCGAGCCCCACAUCGGGCU
rnacentral:tRNA from 1 species